UUUCCGUAGGUGAACCUGCGGAAGGAUCAUUAUCGUACAAAAUGUGAGGGGCAUGCGAUGGCUGUCGCUCACCCAAAAGUCGUGCACGCCCGAGUGUGUCCUCUUGCAUAAUAAUCCAUCUCACCCUUUGUGAAUCACCGCGUGGGCACCCGUCGGGAUCAUCUCGGAGGGGGGCUCGCGUUUUCACACAAACCCCCCUUUUAAACGUGUAGAAUGACCACAUUUAUGCAAUCAAUACAACUUUCAACAACGGAUCUCUUGGCUCUC
rnacentral:misc_RNA from 1 species